GUAGGGAAUAUUGGGCAAUGGAUGCAAGUCUGACCCAGCCAUCCCGCGUGCCGGAAGAAGGCCCUCAGGGUUGUAAACGGCUUUUGACGGUGAAGAAUCGACAGGAUGCGUCCUGUUUUGACGGUAGCCGUUGAAUAAGCACCGGCUAACUCCGUGCCAGCAGCCGCGGUAACACGGAGGGUGCGAGCGUUGUCCGGAUUUAUUGGGUUUAAAGGGUGCGUAGGCUGGAAGGUCAGUCAGCGGUGAAAAGCUGUCGCUUAACGAUAGUCUUGCCGCAGAUACUUCCUUUCUUGGAUGAGGAGGAGGCCACUGGAACGGAUGGUGUAGCGGUGAAAUGCAUAGAUAUCAUCCAGAACACCGAUUGCGAAGGCAGGUGGCUGUACCUUAAUCGACGCUGAUGCACGAAAGCAUGGGGAGCAAACAGGAUUAGAAACCCGGGUAGUCC
rnacentral:rRNA from 1 species